rfam:Gossypium raimondii Chr05_contig_802, whole genome shotgun sequence.
AAUCCAUGGUGCGAGCAUUUAUGGAUCAACAUUUUACAGCAUUGUCAAGCCUCAUAAAAACUUUCCCCUUCCAUUUGUUUAAAAAUAGCAAUUUCUCUUCUUAGUUG